rnacentral:rRNA from 1 species
GACGAACGCUGGCGGCGUGCUUAACACAUGCAAGUCGAACGGAAAGGCCCUGCUUUUGUGGGGUGCUCGAGUGGCGAACGGGUGAGUAACACGUGAGUAACCUGCCCUUGACUUUGGGAUAACUUAAGGAAACUGGGGCUAAUACCGGAUAGGAGCUCCUGCUGCAUGGUGGGGGUUGGAAAGUUUCGGCGGUUGGGGAUGGACUCGCGGCUUAUCAGCUUGUUGGUGGGGUAGUGGCUUACCAAGGCUUUGACGGGUAGCCGGCCUGCGAGGGUGACCGGCCACAUUGGGACUGAGAUACGGCCCAGACUCCUACGGGAGGCAGCAGUGGGGAAUAUUGCACAAUGGGCGGAAGCCUGAUGCAGCAACGCCGCGUUCGGGAUGACGGCCUUCGGGUUGUAAACCGCUUUCGCCUGUGACGAAGCGUGAGUGACGGUAAUGAGUAAAGAAGCACCGGCUAACUACGUG